rnacentral:rRNA from 1 species
CCUACGGGUGGCAGCAGUGAGGAAUAUUGGGCAAUGGCCGUAAGGCGGAACCAGCCAAGUCGCGGGAAGGAAGAAGGAGCGAUGGUUUGUAAACUUCUUUUAUAGGGGAAUAAAGGUAGCCACGUGUGGAUAUUUGCAUGUACCCUAUGAAUAAGCAUCGGCUAACUCCGUGCCAGCAGCCGCGGUAAUACGGAGGAUGCGAGCGUUAUCCGGAUUUAUUGGGUUUAAAGGGUGCGUAGGUUGUUUUUUAAGUCAGCGGUGAAAGUUUGUGGCUCAACCAUAAAAUUGCCGUUGAAACUGGCAGACUUGCGUGUGUUUGCGGUAGGCGGAAUGCGUGGUGUCGCCG